UCGAACGCGAAAGUCCCCUUCGGGGGACAAGUAGAGUGGCGCACGGGUGAGUAACACGUAGGUAAUCUACCUUCGGAUGGGGAAUAACAACCGGAAACGGUUGCUAAUACCGCAUAAUGCAGCGGCACCUAAUGGUGACAGUUGUUAAAGCGGGGGAUCGAAAGACCUCGCGUCUGAAGAGGAGCCUGCGGCGGAUUAGCUAGUUGGUAGGGUAACGGCCUACCAAGGCGACGAUCCGUAGCCGGCCUGAGAGGGCGGUCGGCCACACUGACACUGACAUACGGGUCAGACUCCUACGGGAGGCAGCAGUCGGGAAUUUUGGGCAAUGGGCGAAAGCCUGACCCAGCAACGCCGCGUGAAGGAUGAAAUCCCUCGGGAUGUAAACUUCGCAAGAACGGGAAGAAUAAGUAGGGGACAAUACCCCCUAUGAUGACGGUACCGUUUGUAAGCUCCGGCUAACUCCGUGCCAGCAGCCGCGGUAAUACGGGGGGAGCAAGCGUUG
rnacentral:rRNA from 1 species